rnacentral:rRNA from 1 species
AGAGUUUGAUCCUGGCUCAGAGCGAACGCUGGCGGCAGGCUUAACACAUGCAAGUCGAGCGCCGUAGCAAUACGGAGCGGCAGACGGGUGAGUAACGCGUGGGAACGUGCCCUUUAGUUCGGAAUAACUCAGGGAAACUUGAGCUAAUACCGGAUAAGCCCUUCGGGGGAAAGAUUUAUCGCUGAAGGAUCGGCCCGCGUAAGAUUAGCUAGUUGGUGAGGUAAUGGCUCACCAAGGCUAUGAUCUUUAGCUGUUCUGAGAGGAAGAUCAGCCACACUGGGACUGAGACACGGCCCAGACUCCUACGGGAGGCAGCAGUGGGGAAUAUUGGACAAUGGGCGCAAGCCUGAUCCAGCCAUGCCGCGUGAGUGAUGAAGGCCUUAGGGUUGUAAAGCUCUUUUACCAGGGAAGAUAAUGACGGUACCUGGAGAAUAAGCCCCGGCUAACUUCGUGCCAGCAGCCGCGGUAAUACGAAGGGGGCUAGCGUUGCUCGGAAUCACUGGGCGUAAAGCGCACGUAGGUGGGCCGUUAAGUCAGGGGUGAAAUCCCGGAGCUCAACUCCGGAACUGCCUUUGAUACUGGCGAUCUUGGAGUCCGGGAGAGGUGAGUGGAACUGCGAGUGUAGAGGUGAAAUUCGUAGAUAUUCGCAAGAACACCAGUGGCGAAGGCGGCUCACUGGCCCGGUACUGACACUGAGGUGCGAAAGCGU